CGCCGUAUCUCCUCCGUCCGAGCUCCGAUCGCCGCACCGUUUGUGGCCACGCGACCACCGCAUCGAGCUCUACGUUUCUACCGGAACAAUUUCAUAGGAUCCAAUUAGCUUGAGAAAAACGUUCACUCUUGCUUAUGUGAAGCUUGGGUAAGGUUGUGAAUAAAUAAUUGGAGCUUGAAAUUGUGAAUAUUGGAACUUGGAGGAAGCUGAUUAGUUGAAUUUUGAAGGGGUGCCUUGGUUUUAAAUAAUUUGCUUUGGUCGUUACGUGGAAAUCGGCCAAGGUAUGGUUUAGGUUUCUUGCAUUUAAUAUAUAAUGUUCUGUGAAAACUUAGGCUAGAUGACCAUAGGAUAAGUUGGA